CGAGGCUUGCCGGGCGGGCGGCGGCGGCCGGGGGCCGCUGAGGGCUGUGGCGCCGGGGCGGGCUCCGAGGGGACCCUGGUGCUAGGGGUCGUGCGUCCUCCUAGCCUGGCAGCUGGGGGUUCGUGUCUGCGCGCGUCCGCGGCGCCUAGGUGGCCUUUGCUCCUCCAGCCCCCAUUGAAGGACGUUUGUCUGUUGCAGUAGUUCUCAAAGUGUGGGCCAGGGACACCCUGGAGCUUCCUGAGACCCUGUGAGUUGAACCCAGCCACCGUGCUGAGAGGAGCCUAGGCCACUUGAAGGGGUCUAAUGUCGGUGCUCCAGUCAACAGUCCCAGCUGAGCUCACAGCUGGCAGCCAGCGCCAGCCUUAAUCUUCACCCUGAGCCUUCAAAUGUCUCCAGCCCUGAUCGCGUUGACCUGAAACUACACAAGAGGCCCUAAGUGAAAAGAACCACCCAGCUACCCAGUCAACUUAUAGAACGCAAUAAUCACUUGUACAGCGUGACUGAGUUUCUCUCUGUGAGAUCUGCAACCAGCCACCAGUGGUGUGGAGGAGGAGGUGACAGAUCCAAGUGUCAACUGCUGCUGCUGCUGCUGAUCAACUGCUGAGAUGAUGAUGGGAGUUUAAGUUCACUGUGAUUUCCACACCGAGAAUUUGAAGAAGACCAACAAGGAGCUCGGUGGGCUGGGGCUCAAGGAAGACACAGCUCUGGUACUGUGUCAUUUAAGCCUGGAACGAUCCAAAUGGGAUUUGAGUCUACAAACUGAAUCAUGGCAAGGAGUGUCAAGUCUGAGGUAUCUAGGUAUCACCUCAGCCUCAGCCUGACCAAGUGGACUCUCUGAAGAUGGGCCCAGGAGCCACAAUUCUAAUAGCUCCUCUCAGUGUACAGCUCUGCCAGGGGACUGUGGCCUCUACUGCAGCCCUCUUCACAGGACCCUGGCUUCAGCCUUUCCCACUCUGCAUCUCCAGCUGAUGCCCUCACAUCUGCUUUCACCUUGCUCAAAUUUGCAGGCUACCCACAGAAAAAAAGACUCUUUCACCACUCCAUAGUCAAUGCCACCGACACCCCAGAAAAGCACUGUCGUCCUUGAAACAGUGUGGUUGGCCAGGCUGGGUUGCAACUGGGCUUCACUAACCAGCAACUUCUGAAGCUCAUUCUCCUCGUGGAGGACAUUUCCGACUUGGACAAAGUCCUUAUCUAAGCUCAACACCCUCCACGAGCAAUGCUGUUCUCCUUUCCAAGACUCUGUUGUGUUCCCUUGUGAUGUUGCCUUGGAAUCCCUAAUGAUCAGAACUUUUUCAAAUGAAACAAUGAAGGGGAGUGAAAAGGUAUUUGGGGACGAGAAGGAGGAAAGAAGUCUUUGGGUGGCUAAAGGUGUCUAAAUUGUGUCUGGUCAUUGGGAACUGGGCAAAGGAGGUUAGACAUUUUUCAGCAGUGUCUCCAUUAAGAUUUCAAAAUGAGGAAAACAGAGAUAGUGAUGUCUAUGACUGAUGAGAAUAAAGAUGCUGCCCAUAAACUGAAUUCAGGAUGGCAUCAUGAGAAUGACCAAGAACAAGUAAAAGUGGGUGACGCUUCAGAGGGAAAAAUAACAAUAAUAGAGGCUGCAAGUGCGAGUUAUAGGGUAAGAAGCAACAAGAGCACAUAAGAUAAACUCAACGCCUCUGGCUAGGGGAACACAGAAGGCAGUGUGAAGGUCGAAGAUGGUGUGAAGGAUACACAUGAUGCUUCCUGCUAACUGAAAGCAGCCAGUUAAGAAAGGCCAUGUACUGCAGGAUUCCAACUAUAGGACAUACUAAAAAAGGUAAAACCAGAGAGAGUAAAACAACCAGUGGUUUCCAGGAGUUAGGGUGGAGGGAGGAAGGAACACGUGGAGCAAAGAGGAUAUUUAGGGCAGUGGAAUUAUUUUGCAUGAUACUAUGAUAGAUAUAUGGCAUCAUACAUUUGCCCAAACCCAUACAGUGUACAACACCAAGAGUGAACCUGAUGUAAACUAUUGAUCUCUAUUGGUAAUAAUGGGUUAAUACAGCUUCACCCAUUGUUUUCUUUUUAGAGAGAGAGAGAGAGCACACACGUGCAUGCAGCAUACACACCCGUGAAUGGGGGAGGUGCAAAGAGAGGGAGAGCCUAAGCAGGCUCCGUGCCCAGUGUGGACUGUGGGACCAUCACCUGAGCUGAAAUAAACAGCUGGACACUCAACUGACUGAGCCACCCAGGCGCCACACACAGCUUCACCCAUUGUAACAAAAGUACCACAGCAUAUAAAAUAUUAGUAACAGAGGAAACUGUGUGUGUGUGGUGGGGGAGGGAAGGGUGAAAUAUGGGAACUCUGUACUUUCUGCCCAACUUUCUGUAAACAUAAAACUGCUCUAAUAAAUAAAAUCUAUUAAUUAAAACAGAACAGCAACAAAAAUCAGAAGCAGCCUAAUUAGUUAGGAUGAUGCACAUGUUCUAAAUUGAUCGUAGAAAUGGAUGCACAUUCUGUGAAUAUACUAAAAUCCCCUGCAUACUUUAUUUUUUUUUUAAU